UCCAGAUCCUGGCUCCGAAGACGCUGGACUCGGAAUUUAACUGGUUCCCCAGCAAGGCCAGGAGGGAGUGCUCCCCACUGUAGGCCCCGCCCCAUGAGCACUAAGGGCUUCUGUGCCUGGGCGGGCUGGCAGGGGGUGGAGUGCCCGUCAUGCCCUGCGGCUUUGCGGCUUUGCACGGGGUGUUGCACCUGGCGUGAGAGGACACAGUGCCGCCAUGUUAGCGUCGCCCCACAGGAGCUGUUUUUGUGCCGCCUGCCGGCCAGGCCUCAAACCAGAGCGAGUGUGACCUCUUUGUCCUCACUCAGACGUGAGGCCCCGAGGGGAAUGUGCCAUCGCAGCGGAAAGUCCUCUGUGUCCCGCCUUCAGAGUCUCCAGCGUCAUUGCUGUGUGAGGUCUGCUACUUCACGAUGACCUGUGACCUGGGCGUGGACUCUGAGCAGGGCCAGUUGUUUCUGUGAGGACGACCUGUGAUCCUGGCCUGGACUCUUAGCAGUCACAGUUGGUGGAGUCCAUGAGGACAACCUAUGACAUUGGUGCAGAUUCUGCGCAGGCACAGUUUCUGGUGUCUGUCAGGGAGUGAUCAGGAGGUGGGGGGGGCCCACUCUCAACCAUGGGGUGUGCACCCUUGCACAUCCUGGGCUGCUCCCUUGCCCAGGGUGCCUACAGUGACACAGGACUUUGUGAUGUUGCGACGGCCUGGGGGCUCCGUGCAGGUUGCUCUUCCAAAUUCAAGUGAAGUUUGGGGAAGACACUUGGAUACAAAACAGGAGAGGGGCCCUUUUACCUACAGUUUUUGAGGUUUUUAAUGCAACUUGCCUCUCUCAGUACAGAACAUAGGGUACAUGUAGGCACAUUACAGACGGGUGAGCUUAGGGUAGCUCAGAGGAGUGAGACGUCAGGGUGGGAGACAGGAGUUUGUAUGUGUCCAGAAAUGACUGAGGCACCCUGUGUGGUCAGAGAGAGUCAACCCUGGAUUCCUAGCACCUUCCUACUGCCUCCCACAGCUCCCGCUGCAACCACCUCCUGGCCUACAGCAGUAGGGGCUCUGGCCAUCACACACAAGCUCCACACCUGAUAAUGAGGAAGACAUGGGUAAUGGGUGCUUCUCCCUUCCAGGUCAGUGCAGGAAUUCCAGUGGCCCUCUGCUCAUCACUGAGUCCUGUCCCCACCCUGGGAUGUGCAGAAACCAGGGAG